CUUUUUUGGAUUCAUUUGGAUUUUGUUGGCUGCUUUGUGUGUAUUUUUUAAAACUUCUGUUUGUCAUUUGUAAAUUUUAUAAAUUUACCACAAUGCAAAGUGAUUAUUUAAGGAAAUUAUUAAUGGAAACUCCGCAGAUGUUUUAGAAAGAUAUUCAUUGAAGCUGAAAAUAAUUGGAGAUUUAGAUCCAUAUACAAUUCAGUCAUCAGAAUUGGAUUUUACAGUGCAUUCCUUCAAUUACUGUUAUAAUGCUAUUAUAGAUAGACUGCUAGAGUCUCACAGUUACUGCUUUAAGCAGCAGAUGAAAGCAUACAAAAGCCUUCAGGCACAUAAAAGCCUUCACAACUGGAUUUGUUUUGAAACAUUGAUGUUUUGAUGAUUUCUAUAUUAUUGUUGGAAAGGUGAAAAAUUCCCAAAAAGCUAAUGCUAAACCGCUAGAUGCUUCGGUGAAUAGCCAGUUCCAAUGGCAUAGCAAAUGCACAUUGUAUGUGUAUGGCCAGUAAUAGUGAAAUUUGCAGCCAUAUUGCAGCAAUCUUAUUUGCAGCUGAGUAUGCCCACAGCAAGACAGAAGAAGAAGAACCCAAUGCAUGUACAGAUGUUACAGCUAUGUACAUUCUCUGGUGAAAAACUAAUGAGUUUUCAAGCUGUUCGGUCAGAGUGCUUGUUGCGCUCUCUAAACGAACUGAUAUAUAAGACGGCUUUGGCUUCAUGUUGCAGUGAUAUGAAAAUGGUUAGUCAUUUUUAAUUAUAAUGUACUUCUUCAUCAUGAGUAUUUAUGUAUAGGGCUUUUCAUUCACAGUCAUUUGUUUCGAGCUUCUGUCAUGUGUCACAUAAUAUUAAUAUUAUAUCUACGUCAUACGUUAUUGGUAUAUAUCAAUGAUACACACCACAGACAUAUGGCAUAGAUAUAUUAAUAUUAUGUGACACAUGACAGAUGCUCGAAACAAAUGACAGUCGAUAAAAAGCCCUAUUAGUCUUUUAAGUGUGUAUUAUCAGAUAUCACAUGUAAAUUGUUUUUAUCAUGUUAAUUUGGUCAUUACAGUCCCUUAAUCAAAAAAUAUAUUUUUCAGGGGUCUGUGGAUCUUUUUGUAUGCAAAAAUUUGUAAUAAUUAUUUGAAAUCAUUUUGAGGAUUAUUAGAGUAUGGAAAUAUAUGUGAGAACACAUACUAUUAUAGUUUUGUCCUAUUUUUUAUCAUUCAAUAGUCUUCUUAAAAUUUAUAAAUAUAAAGCAGAUAGUUUUCAUUGAAAUUCAAUAUAUUGGAUCUUAUUUGUAUGUAUUCAUUUUUGACUAAAGGUACGAUUCCGAUAACGACUGCAGACAGCAACUGCAAACAUCAGUUGCAGUUCUCGGCGUUAUGGACGUUACUACUUUGCACUAUUUAUCUGUAUGAGACUUAUUCCGACAUCUGACUGCAACUGCUGUCUGGCAGAACGUCAGUUGCUAAUAAUUAUGCAAAUUAUUAGUGCAAAAUAAUGACGUCUGUCAUGGUGACAACUGUAACUGCCAUCUGCAGUCGUCGGAAUCGUACCUUUAAAGUGUGUGG